rnacentral:lncRNA from 1 species
GUUCACUGUUUUUGCAUGUGUUGUAUCCCUGACAUUUGAAUUCACUCAUAAGUGAUGGGGUGUAUCGACUGUAUGUUUGAUGGGUUUGCUACAUUUCCUUGUCUUCAUGCUUUUUCUCAAGUACAUUGAAAUGAAUUUGUUAUCACCAAUGAGAAUUAUGAAGGAAAUAUGCUUCUAAUGCAAGUAAGGUUUGCUUGAAUUAUGUUAUGUGUUUGACAACAUAAUAUUGGAUCCUAUUUGGUUGCUCCUCAAAACAAUUGUGGAACAUUCACCUUUUGCUUGGCAUUUCAAUUUGCAAAUUCCUUAUUUGAAUGUCCUCAUUUGGAACCCCCAAAAUUAUCUAUAAAAUUCUUUAUGCCAAGUUUGGUUUUAAGGAAUGGACGAUUGAAUGAAUGAAAUGAAAAUUAAUGUAUUUGGUAAUCAUUUUGGCGGAUAAAUGAUUUCGAUUCAUUCUUUUGUUUUUUAUUUCAUGUGGGAGGUGGUGAAAUGGAUGUAUGUGAUAAUUAUGUUAUCCUAUCACAUUAUUCACCAUUAACAAUUAAAAAUACACUUGUAAUGCUAAAAACUAGAAAAUAUGCAUCGAUAGUUUUAGUGUUGAACAAAAAUUAAAUAAAAUCGAUAAUUG